UUACUUUACCUGGCAGGGGAGAUACCAUAAUCUCAAAGGUAGUUCUCCUAGGGCAAGGUUCACCCAUUGCACUCUGCUUGUGCUGACCUCUGCCUUUUCCCCAAAUGCAGGAAACUCGACUGCAUAAUUUGUGGUAGCGGGGGACUGCAUACACGUUUUUCUCUG